CCCCUCUCAGUAUCGCUCUUGGAGAGUUUCCAGUACUCUACCAGUCUCGGCUAUGGGAGGGAGAGUCAGGCAGAGGCCUGUCCAUUCCAUUCCUAGCUUGGCCAGUGGCUUGCAAGUGGAAGGCAAUCUAUUACAAGU